AAUCCAUGAUGAGGACACUUCUGUAAGAGAUCUUUGUAUCUUUCCCAAGCUUCAUAAAGUGACUCCAUAUCUUCUUGGUAAAAAGUAAUGUCACUUCUCAUCUU